CCUAUCUUCCUCUUCCCCAUGCCUUCGGUAAACAGCCAAUGUUUUUCCUUUUCCGUGAUACCAUAAAAACCCACUCAUUAUUGUUCUAAAUACAGAUAUAUUUGUCGCUUAUAUUUAUCAACAUACCCAAUAAGAGAAUGAAAACCAAUUUCCUUUAAAGUGAAAGAUAAACCAAAAAUAGAUCCUGUUUUUUCUUUUUUUCCGAAGAGUCUUUCAGAAUGCAGUAUGCAAUUAUAGGCACGCAUAUGCAUGUGCCUUUGCUGAAACUGGAAAGCAUUUAGAGUAGGAUAAUUUUUUUUUCUCGCUCAUUGUUCAUAAAACUUCUUUUCAAGGUGAGAUAUUUUUUUAUUUUUAAAAUUUUUAUUUUAUUUUAUUUUAGUAUUGUAAGGUUGUUCAAAGCUUAUAAAUGGGCGUUUCUGGUAUGAACUGAGUUACAUUGGACAGUAAUUCACGUAUUUUCUGAUUUUUUAUUCAGGGUUUUUGAUAAUUUAUUGCUUGAUGAAAUGUUCAUAUUUCUCACUUCUGUCACGGAUAAAGGCGCAUUUUUUUGUGUAAUCUGGGGCCUGGUUUCAUUUUUAUUUGAGUUGACCUUGUUAAUUUUUAAGUAGGUUCUUUUUGAGGCCUCAUUAUGGUACAUGAUUAAUGAUUAUUUUUGUUUCAUGGUGACAUAUUGCUGUAUGUUAUUUUUAUUGCCAUCAUUGUAUCAAUUUAGUCAAAUAUUGUGCAGUAAACUGUUAAAGAUUUGUUUCCAAUGAAUUGUUGGGAUUACUUGGGGAUUUACUUCUUCUAUUGGAAUUGGAACUGAAACUCUUGGAUUUACCAAAUCCUCAUAUCUUGUAGAACAGGGGUUGUAGACAAUAUAUAAGCUUCGGCUAUGUAGUAUUAGAAAUUGGAAAUAAUCAAUGGGAUCCUAUGAGAAUGAGGUGAAAAAGGAAAUCAUUGCUAAUACAAGUGUUUUAUUCUAUCACAGGUUUCUGUGUCUUUUUUCUCUUCGAGCUAAGAUUCUAAAGUUUCCAUCACCCUUCCAUUGUUUUUUUUUUUUUUUUUU
rnacentral:lncRNA from 1 species